CCUACGGGGAGCAGCAGUGGGGAAUAUUGGACAAUGGGCGAAAGCCUGAUCCAGCCAUGCCGCGUGUGUGAAGAAGGCCUUCGGGUUGUAAAGCACUUUCAGUGGGGAAGAAAGCCUUGGGGCUAAUACCCUCGAGGAAGGACAUCACCCACAGAAGAAGCACCGGCUAACUCCGUGCCAGCAGCCGCGGUAAUACGGAGGGUGCGAGCGUUAAUCGGAAUUACUGGGCGUAAAGCGCGCGUAGGUGGUCUGAUAAGCCGGUUGUGAAAGCCCCGGGCUCAACCUGGGAACGGCAUCCGGAACUGUCAGGCUAGAGUGCAGGAGAGGAAGGUAGAAUUCCCGGUGUAGCGGUGAAAUGCGUAGAGAUCGGGAGGAAUACCAGUGGCGAAGGCGGCCUUCUGGACUGACACUGACGCUGAGGUGCGAAAGCGUGGGUAGCAAACAGGAUUAGAUACCCUAGUAGUC
rnacentral:rRNA from 1 species